rnacentral:rRNA from 1 species
GACGAACGCUGGCGGCGUGCUUAACACAUGCAAGUCGAACGGAAAGGCCCUGCUUUUGUGGGGUGCUCGAGUGGCGAACGGGUGAGUAACACGUGAGUAACCUGCCCUUGACUUUGGGAUAACUUCAGGAAACUGGGGCUAAUACCGGAUAGGAGCUCCUGCUGCAUGGUGGGGGUUGGAAAGUUUCGGCGGUUGGGGAUGGGCUCGCGGCUGAUCAGCCUGUUGGUGGGGUAGUGGCUUACCAAGGCUUUGACGGGUAGCCGGCCGGAGCGGGUGACCGGCCACAUUGGGACUGAGCUACGGGCAAGAAUCCUACGGGAGGCAGCAGUGGGGAAUAUUGCACAAUGGGCGGAAGCCUGAUGCAGCAACGCCGCGUGCGGGAUGACGGCCUUCGGGUUGUAAACCGCUUUCGCCUGUGACGAAGCGUGAGUGACGGUAAUGGGUAAAGAAGCACCGGCUAACUACGUG